UACGGGGGGGGCAAGCGUUGUUCGGAAUUACUGGGCGUAAAGGGCUCGUAGGUGGCCAACUAAGUCAGACGUGAAAUCCCUCAGCUUAACUGGGGAACUGCGUCUGAUACUGGAUGGCUUGAGUUUGGGAGAGGGAUGCGGAAUUCCAGGUGUAGCGGUGAAAUGCGUAGAUAUCUGGAGGAACACCGGUGGCGAAGGCGGCAUCCUGGACCGGUAUUGACGCUGAGGCGCGAAAGCCAGGGGAGCAAACGGG
rnacentral:rRNA from 1 species